CUGAGGCCUAUCAUUGAGAACAAAUCACGAAUAAUUCUUGUGCAUACAACCUCGGGUUACAAGUAUGGUCAUGCUUUAUUUCCUUUGGUUUAUGACAGUUUUAAAACAUUAACUAUCAUAACUUUGCACCAAUUGACAACUGACAAGCUUGUUACUGGUUUCAUCUCUCAAUUUUCAAUUUGCAUUUAUUUCAACUUUCGUAUGGGCUAAGUAAACUGAGGAUCUCAGUGAUGAGCUUAGCUACAUCAUGUUCUUAACUUUGCUAUGGAUAUGUAAAUAAAGCUCUGCUAUUUCAUUUUCCCAGUGCAUGUGAUACUUAUUUGCUCAGUACUAUAGGCAUCCUAUCUCCUAAGUUCCACUAUUUAUCAGAUUCUUUUUAAUGUGUAUUCACUUGCAACCGCAGGCAUAGUUUGAGGGAGGUUCUGGAUGCUCCAUAUGUUAUGAAUAUGAUAAAAGAUACUAAAGCAGCACAAGAGGUCCGGGCUCUCCAAGAUUUCUUCAGUAUGCUUUCAAAUGUACUUGGAAUAAGGAGCUGAGAAAGCACCCAAAAGAUUACAACAGUUUGAAAACUU